rnacentral:lncRNA from 1 species
GAGGCAGGAGAAUCGCUUGAACCCGGGAGGCAGAGGUUGUGGUGAGCCGAGAUUGUGCCAUUGCACUCCAGCCUUGGCAACAACAGCAAAACUCCAUCUCAAAAAAAAAAAUUAUUUUGUAGAGAUGGGUCUCACUAUGUUGUCCAGGCUCGUCUUGAACUCCUGGCCUCAAGCCAUCCCCCUGCCUUGGCCUCCCAAAAUGCUGGAAUUACAGGUGUGAGCCACUGCGCCCAGCCAGUAGCCAUUAUUAUUAGGUAAUUUUAGUAGAUAUCUCUACCACAAAGGGCCUGUGAACUUCUAGGUAACCAGUAAGGCCAGUUGGUGUACUGCUUUGCUGCCAUAGAUUUUUGUUUUCUAGUUAACACCCACUGAAACAUGUUGCUGUGAAUCUUACCUCUAGCCCUGCGGUCCCCAGCACAGAGAUCUUCAAAGCUGGCUGUACAGCAGCAUCACCUGUGUAACUUACACUCAUGCUACUGUGAUUGCCCGGGUCAAAGGUUGGCACCUGGCCUCCUUCUGAUGCACAGGCCCACCCACAGAAGGGAUCCACUGAAGCCCACCAGGUCCGGAAGUAUGAGGAACCCCCAGCAUCCACCUCAUUGUGGAACUCACGGUCCAGCCACUCUCAGGAUGGAUCACCACCUUCAUCAGAACCAUCUGGGCAGCUUAUAUAGCUUUCUAGGGGCCCAGCUCAGACCUAUUGAACUGGAAUCCCUGAGGGUGAAGCCAGGAAUGGGGUUCUAACAAGCUGGCCGCAUUACAUGCUGAGGUGCAUUUAUGUUCUGCAGGAAAACACGCUGCCUGCGUGAGUGAAAUCACCAUCUGCUCUCCUAAGUUCUUCUGGAAAGAGCACCGUAACCAUGUCAUCCUAACAGCAAUGCCAUGAAGAAAGGGAGGCAGCUCCCUCCACGUCCUGGCUCCAGUGCCCACUCCCGUGCCCCCUCCAUGGCCCACGCAGCCUGGCCACCUGGGUGACAUCUGGUCCCUGUGUCACUUUCUGCAAGACAAGGACCAGCCUCAAAGAGGAGAGCAUGGUGUCCUGAAGGAGAUGGCGGCCACCAUCACCUGUCCUGUGGCUUUCCUCUGACUGCCCAGGUGGGGGCCCAGAGGCGGCGCCUCUCAGUCCAGCUUUGAGUGGAGUUACAUAAUUUCCAGGCUUCCCUGCAGUUCUCGCCUCCCCAUCCCUGAACUGUUUACACAGUAGCUCUCACCCACAAAGAGUCCGCAUGAUGGCUUUUCCUCUGUUUGGAAGAUGUGGAUGGCUGUGUCCCAAGUUUUUCCUACCUAAGAUCCUUUUCAGUAGGGGAUGGAUUUGGUCUAUCUGAUGAUCAAGAGUUCAGGGUGGCCUUUGUGAUAGUGUUACACCCCCUCCCAGGUCCAAUAAACAGUCUUCUGACAAAUAAUGGCCCUUCCUUUUCCUUCCCCACCUGUCCACCACCUGGUAAUGUGAUGUAAGCGUGGCAAAAUCCCACACACCCCUUCCAGAAAUCCCAGGACUCGUGUGGGAAAUACUGUCAUAAUUAAAGCCUUCUGAGAAA